GACGAACGCUGGCGGCGUGCUUAACACAUGCAAGUCGAACGGAAAGGCCCUGCUUUUGUGGGGUGCUCGAGUGGCGAACGGGUGAGUAACACGUGAGUAACCUGCCCUUGACUUUGGGAUAACUUCAGGAAACUGGGGCUAAUACCGGAUAGGAGCUCCUGCUGCAUGGUGGGGGUUGGAAAGUUUCGGCGGUUGGGGAUGGACUCGCGGCUUAUCAGCUUGUUGGUGGGGUAGUGGCUUACCAAGGCUUUGACGGGUAGCCGGCCUGAGAGGGUGACCGGCCAAAUUGGGACUGAGGAAAGGCCCAGAAUCCUAAGGGGGGCAAGAGGGGGGAAUAUUGGAAAAAGGGGGGAAGCCUGAAGCAGCAACGCCGGGGGCGGGAUGAAGGCCUUCGGGGUGUAAACCGGUUUCGGCUGGGAAGAAGGGGGAGGGAAGGGAAUGGGUAAAGAAGCACCGGCUAACUACGUG
rnacentral:rRNA from 1 species